rnacentral:rRNA from 1 species
AACGAACGCUGGCGGCAUGCCUAACACAUGCAAGUCGAACGAGACCUUCGGGUCUAGUGGCGCACGGGUGAGUAACGCGUGGGAACCUGCCCUUAGGUUCGGAAUAACUCCCCGAAAGGGGUGCUAAUACCGGAUAAUGUCUUCGGACCAAAGAUUUAUCGCCUUUGGAUGGGCCCGCGUUGGAUUAGCUGGUUGGUAGGGUAAAAGCCUACCAAGGCGACGAUCCAUAGCUGGUCUGAUAGGAUGAUCAGCCACACUGGGACUGAGACACGGCCCAGACUCCUACGGGAGGCAGCAGUGGGGAAUAUUGGACAAUGGGCGAAAGCCUGAUCCAGCCAUGCCGCGUGAGUGAUGAAGGCCUUAGGGUUGUAAAGCUCUUUUACCCGGGAUGAUAAUGACAGUACCGGGAGAAUAAGCACCGGCUAACUCCGUG